UCAGUUCACUUAUGCUCAUGAUGAAUAUUUCGUUUGAACACUGGAUUCCAUGGAAGAGAAGUCUGAAAACCACUGAUCUCAUCUGAUACUUCCAUGAUUGAGAACACGGCUGGAACUGAGAAGCUGUUGGGGACUGGUGAGGAAGAACAUGGCAUCUACCACCAGGUCAAACAUCUACGAGGUAGGAUGAGACACGGAUUAGUUUUCUUUACUCAGAAAAGUUCAAAACAUGUUUCAGACUUUCUUGGCUUGGUGAAAUACCAAAUGAGGUUUCCUUAAAAGGAGAAAACAGGUAAGUUUAGAUGUAAUUCU